rnacentral:rRNA from 1 species
GCUUGUCUCAAAGAUUAAGCCAUGCAUGUCUAAGUAUAAAUCUUUUACUUUGAAACUGCGAACGGCUCAUUAUAUCAGUUAUAGUUUAUUUGAUAGUCCCUUACUACUUGGAUAACCGUAGUAAUUCUAGAGCUAAUACAUGCUAAAAACCCCAACUUCGGAAGGGGUGUAUUUAUUAGAUAAAAAACCAACGCCCUUCGGGGCUCCUUGGUGAUUCAUAAUAACUAAACGAAUCGCAUGGCCUUGCGCCGGCGAUGGUUCAUUCAAAUUUCUGCCCUAUCAACUUUCGAUGGUAGGAUAGUGGCCUACCAUGGUAUCAACGGGUAACGGGGAAUUAGGGUUCUAUUCCGGAGAGGGAGCCUGAGAAACGGCUACCACAUCCAAGGAAGGCAGCAGG